rnacentral:lncRNA from 1 species
GCAGAAUGGAAUCUAAUUUUAAUCAAGAGGGAGUACCUCGACCAUCUUAUGUUUUUAGUGCUGACCCAAUUGCAAGGCCUUCAGAAAUAAAUUUCGAUGGCAUUAAGCUUGAUCUGUCUCAUGAAUUUUCCUUAGUUGCUCCAAAUACUGAGCAAACAGUUUCGAAUCUAAAGAUUAUCUCCAGGUUUGUCUUCGAAUAAGACCAUUUACACAGUCAGAAAAAGAACUUGAGUCUGAGGCUGUGUGCAUAUUCUGGAUUCACAGACUGUUGUGCUGAAAGAGCCUCAAUGCAUCCUUGGUCGGUUAAGUGAAAAAAGCUCAGGGCAGAUGGCACAGAAAUUCAGUUUUUCCAAGUUUUUGGCCCAGCAACUACACAGAAGGAAUUCUUUCAGGGUUGCAUUAUGCAACCAGUAAAAGACCUCUUGAAAGGACAGAGUCGUCUGAUUUUUACUUACGGGCUAACCAAUUCAGGAAAAACAUAUACAUUUCAAGGACAGAAGAAAAUAUUGGCAUUCUGCCUCGAACUUUGAAUGUAUUAUUUGAUAGUCUUCAAGAAAGACUGUAUACAAAGAUGAACCUUAAACCACAUAGAUCCAGAGAAUACUUAAGGUUAUCAUCAGAACAAGAGAAAGAAGAAAUUGCUAGCAAAAGUGCAUUGCUUCGGCAAAUUAAAGAGUUACUGUGCAUAAUGAUAGUGAUGAUACUCUUUAUGAAGUUUAACUAACUCUUUGAAUAUCUCAGAGUUUGAAGAAUCCAUAAAAGAUUAUGAACAAGCCAACUUGAAUAUGGCUAAUAGUAUAAAAUUUUCUGUGUGGGUUUCUUUCUUUGAAAUUUACAAUGAAUAUAUUUAUGACUUAUUUGUUCCUUGAAUUAGCUAAAACCAAAGGAGAAUUAAUCAAAACCAAAGAAGAGUUAAAAAAGAGAGAAAAUGAUCAGAUUCAUUGAUUCAAGAGCUUGAGACAUCUAAUAAGAAAUAAUUACACAGAAUCAAAGAAUUAAAGAAUUGAUAAAUAUAAUUGAUCAAAAAGAAGAUACUAUCAACGAAUUUCA